rnacentral:rRNA from 1 species
ACCUACGGGAGGCAGCAGUGGGGAAUAUUGCGCAAUGGGCGAAAGCCUGACGCAGCGACGCCGCGUGAGGGAUGAAGGUCUUCGGAUCGUAAACCUCUGUCAGCAGGGAAGAACGGUCACUGUGCUAAUCAGCAGUGAAUUGACGGUACCUGCAAAGGAAGCACCGGCUAACUCCGUGCCAGCAGCCGCGGUAAUACGGAGGGGGCGGGCGUUAAUCGGAAUUACUGGGCGUAAAGCGCUCGUAGGCGGUAUGUCAAGUCAAGGGGGAAAUCCCCGCGCUCAACGGGGGAACUGCCUUUGAAACU